UUUUCAAAAAUUAUUCAUUUUAAACCCGGCCAACUUUUUGAACAUAGAAAUAACACUAUAAUAAAAGGUAUUGUAGAAGUAAAACGAUGCAUUUCAAUUUUGGUGGAUGAGGGGUUAAAUAUACUUCUCCAUUUUUUCUUAAAUUACAUUAGUUACCAAUUUUGUUUGCAGUAUAUCUCGCUUAGUUUGAAUGUGAUGGAGCUUUAUUUGCUCAUUUUAAAGGUCCUUUCAAGCACUACAAAGGUAUUUGUGGCAUUAUACAAAUAAAAAUCGACCGUUUCCCUGUUAUUUCAAGUUGAAUACACCAAUUUGAGCAUGUACCAAAAAAUCAAACUCUUUUCACCUACCAUAUCUCUUUUUGUAUUAUAACUAGAAGAUUUAUGAGGGCAAGCGUCUCUUUGUUUUUUAAUAACCUACAAAAAUGUUUUAUAUAGUUUUUUAGUUAGAUGCAUAGUUUUUUUCAUGUAUUCGCAAAAAAACCGUUUGAAAAGGUGUUUCUUUCAAUGAAAAUUACCAAUUUUCAACCACGAAUAACUCAAAAAGUAUUGAGUUUUCCAAAAAAAAUAUGAAACAGUUUUUGCUUAGAAUUAUGUUCCCUAGCGAAUUUAUACCCCUGAGAAGGGGUGGGAACCACCCCCAAGAUAAAAGCACACAUCGUCAUAGGGUAGACUUUGAAUAAGGAGAUGGCGCUUUCUUUUCUUUUGGAAGAAAAACAACGUCGUAGAAGUUGGUCUAUGGGAUUUUUGAGUAUUUUAACACUCUGAAUUUCAAUUUUUUCUUUUCUCUAUUAAAAAUACAAUAGUUACUACCUCUUACAAUAGUUUUGGUCGUUGUGGUAUGCUUGGACUAAUGCCCUGUGUCUUUCCUAGGCUGCCUUUCAUCGCUCGACGCUAAGGGAAGGUCCUGGUAACAACCCUAUCCGUUGGCCACAUACCACCACAGGCCAAUUUCCGGAGGACACCACAUGGGACUCGUGGCUGUUCUAACUCCUAAUACCACCAACUAGAAGCUAGCACCUAGUUAAUUCAACCAGAAUCAUCACAACUGGAACACCCACCUGCGACCCCGUGAGCAAGAAGAGAAAGUCAGUACUGUAACUUGUAUAUAUCGGUUUUAAAACGUUCUCCUACGUCUUCCGAUGCCUAGUCGCCAUUCACUUCGGUCCAUCCAAAGGUCUUCAUCCAAUUCUCCUUCUCUCAUUUCUCGAUUUAUGCCUUCUCUCCAACUAAGGCGGGGCUUCCUCUUUUUCGUCUACCAUGAGGGGUCCACGUUAGGAUUUGUUUCGGGAGUCGUUCUUCGGACAUUCUUUGUACGUGUCCAUACCAUCUAAGCUGUUUGGUACUAAUUUCAUCUACUAUUGUGUUUUCACAUUCAUUAUUUCCCUAAUUCUGUUGUUGGUUACCCUUUCUAAUCUUGAUUUUCCUGCUGAGCGCCUCCAGAAAUCCAUUUCUGUUGCUUCAAGUUUUCUCUUGUAUCUUUCUUUUAUUUGCCAUACUUCACUGCUGUAAGUGAUUAUACUCGUAACAAUUGUAUUGUAUAUUCUAUGUUUGUUGUUGUUUGAUAUUGACUGGUCCCACAGGAUGCUAUUGAGAAGGGUAAUUGCUUUUCUUCCCUGGUUGUUUCUUUCUUCUAUCGUCCGGUCUACGUUUCCUUCUUGUGUGAUGGUCAUACCCAGGUAUUUAUAUGCGUCGCAAUGUUUAAUAAUUUCGCCAUUCCCCAGUGUAAGGUCCUGCUGUGUCCCACCGAUACACAUAUAUUCGGUCUUCUUUAUGUUUAUUUCCAAACCACCUUUUUUGUACUCCUCUAUUAAUUUCCUUGUCAUAUAUUCUAUAUCAUCGUAGUCUUGCGCUAGUACAAGUUGGUCGUCUGCAAAUGACAAAGUGUAUAUUGUAUUGUUGUUGAUCGGUAAGUUUUAGAGUUUGCUCGAGGUAGAUCUUAAAUAAUGUCGGUGAAAGGCAGCACCCUUGUUUUAGGCCUUUGCUAAUUUGGAAUCCUCUCGAUAGCGUGCUUCCAACUUUCACCCUUGCUGCAGUUUUGGUAUACAAUUGUUUCGUCGCUGUUAUUAAAUUUGCGCUUAUAUUGGUUUUCUCUAAUGCUUCCCAUAGUUUGUUUUGUGGGAUGCUAUCAUACGCUUUUCUUAAGUCCACAUAUAACAGAUGCACCUCCUGGUUGACGGCCAGUUUCUUCUCAAUAAUCUGUGUAAUACAAAACAGAUGGUCAACCGUCGAUCUCCCUGCCCUGAAUCCUGCCUGUUCUUCAGCUUUUAUAUCUUUAUAUUCGUUUUCGAUUUUAUUUUUAAUCAGUUUUCCGUAUAUUCGGCUGAUAUCUGAGUUCGUUACAGCGAUGCCUCUGUAGUUAUCACAUUGAUCCCAUCUGCCUUUUUUAUGUAUGGAGGAUAUCCAUGAUGCCUUCCAUUCUUCUGGGAUUUCCGCUCCGUUGAUGCAUCUUUGAAAGAGUUUAGCCAGGUUUUCAUAUAAUUUUGUUGUGCCAUAUUUUAUUAGUUCAGCUGGUAUGUUCCCUGGUCCUGGUGCUUUGUUAUUUUUUAAAGACUCUCGAUAGCGUGCUUCCAACUUUCACCCUUGCUGCAGUUUUGGUAUACAAUUGUUUCGUCGCUGUUAUUAAAUUUGCGCUUAUAUUGGUUUUCUCUAAUGCUUCCCAUAGUUUGUUUUGUGGGAUGCUAUCAUACGCUUUUCUUAAGUCCACAUAUAACAGAUGCACCUCCUGGUUGACGGCCAGUUUCUUCUCAAUAAUCUGUGUAAUACAAAACAGAUGGUCAACCGUUGAUCUCCCUGCCCUGAAUCCUGCCUGUUCUUCAGCUUUUAUAUCUUUAUAUUCGUUUUCGAUUUUAUUUUUAAUCAGUUUUCCGUAUAUUCGGCUGAUAUCUGAGUUCGUUACAGCGAUGCCUCUGUAGUUAUCACAUUGAUCCCAUCUGCCUUUUUUAUGUAUGGUGGAUAUCCAUGAUGCCUUCCAUUCUUCUGGGAUUUCCGCUCCGUUGAUGCAUCUUUGAAAGAGUUUAGCCAGGUUUUCAUAUAAUUUUGUUGUGCCAUAUUUUAUUAGUUCAGCUGGUAUGGUCCCUGGUCCUGGUGCUUUGUUAUUUUUUAAAGACUUACAUACUUCUUUUGUUGUUACUCGUAAUGGUGAGGCUAAGAUAUUUACAUUGCUGGUAUCACUGUUAUUUAAAAAUUCCGCUCUGUCCUCAUUUAGGAGUUUUUCAAAAUAUUCGUCCCAUUGAUCCGGUGUGAUUGCUGAUAUUAUAUCUCUUUUCUUUUCCUGUCGUAGCGAUUUUAAUACUUUCCAACUUUCUGUACUUUUCCGUCCUCCUAAAUGUGUGUUAAUCAUGUUACACUUUUGCUCCCAAGCCUCAUUCUUCUUUUGGCAUAUCAUUUUUCGCACUUUAGCUUGGACCCUCUUGUAUUCUACCUUAUCGGCGUCGGUCCUUGUGUUCAGAAAUUUUUUAUACUUCUCUCUUUUAUUUUUAAUCUCUUGUUCUAUUUCUUCGUCCCACCAAUACGGAGUUUUUCUGUGGUUUUUUAAUUGGAGUCCGAGGGCCUCUGUUGCUGCUUCCUGAAGACAUGUUUUUAUAUAAUGAUAAUGCUCUUCAUUGCUGGUAAAUUGCAUGGUUUCUAACUUUUUAUCUAGUCUACUCCUGUAUAAAUCCCUCACGCUUUCUUGUUCUAAGCUGUUUAGGUUGUAUUUCUUUUCUGUUAAUUUUUCUAUUUCCGCUGCAGCUUCUUUUAAAUCUCUUGCUCUAUCUAUUCCUGUUGUGAGCUUUGUUUUUAAUAGAUGGUGGUCACUGCCGCAAGUGGCUCCUCUAUAUACCUGCACAUCCUGUACAAUCAAUUUAGUCUUUUGUCUUAUGAUUGUAUAGUCUAUGAUUGAUUUCAGCCCUCGGGUAUUUUGUGUCCAUGUAUAUUUAUAGAUAUCUCGGUGUUGGAAGAAUCCAUUUGUGAUUUUCAUAUCAUUUUGUUCGCAUACGGCUAUUAGUCUAGUACCAUUGUCAUUUAUAGCUUCUUCACCAUAUUGGCCUAUGACUUUGUUGUGCUGUUUCUUGCCUGUUCUACUGUUUAGGUUCCCCAAGAUUAUAAUUUCUCGUGAUCUGCCGAUAUUUGCAAUUUCUGAAUGUAGCUUUUCAAAAAAAUCGUCUUUAAUAUUCACCAAUGCAUCAUCGUUUACUGCAUAUACUCCAAUACUCGUAAUCUUUUUUCCUUUGAUAGUUAGAUUCAUUUUUAUGAGCCUUUCGCUGAUGGCUUCCCAAGCAGUUAUGAAUCUCCUUAGUUUCUUGCGUAUAAGUAUACUGUGACACUAUUUAGUCCGCUCACGAAUUGGCCUAUUUCUUCCCGAAGCUUCUCGGCGUUACGAGACAAUACCAUUCCUAUCCACGGCGUUCGAGACGACCGCUGCCGAAGUAUAUAUAGAACCGAGAUUCGAGCACAGGCCAGUCAUUCAUUCAUCGAAGCGCGUCGCGUAACUUAAUGUAUUCGAAUCGAAGAUAUGAAAUGUAUUUAUUAGUUAUCGGAAUUAUUAUGUUUAGUUAAUUAAAUCAUAAAUUUGAGUUUGUAAAUAAAUUAGAUGUGUUAGUUGGUGUUAUUUGUAAUUAUUAAAAUAAAUAAGUGAUGUAAAUAAAAUAAUACAGUGGAACCUCGAUAACUCGGAUUAAUCGGGACCGCGACCGAUCCGGGUUAUCGAAAAUCCGAGAUAGCCGGAGAAUAUGGUAAAAAUUAAUAAAAUACGGUAUACUUACAGAUAAACUCCGUUAGAAUUGAAAUAACAUGAAAUAUAUUUAUAAAUAUGCACAGUAUUCACAGUAAUACCUACUCAUUAAAAUUACUAAAAAACACCAAACCCAAACGUAAGCAAAUGGAAGCGAACAAUACAAGACACACAAUACUAAAGACCAUUGUUUAUAAAAGAAUUUUUUAAAUAGUCUUUCCUAAACAAUGCUGACAGUUUGAAAUAAAAAGGAAUAGAUACUACAGACAGGUGGCUGUUGUUUCUGCGGCGUGUGCUAUGAGUCAUUUUUAAUAUCGUAUAGUUCAAAUUACGCACAUACACAUUAUCUCUCAAAUAUUAUAUUACAUACAUUUUUAUUGUUGAAAGGUUUGUCUGAUAAUUAACUAUUUUGAUUGGAAAUAAGCCACAAUUAAAUUGAAAAAUACAAAAUAUUGAAAAUCAAAAUGUUUAUCUGAUGAAAAUCGGUCCGGGUUAGCCGGACUUCCGGGUUAUCGGGGUUCCACUUGAUAAGUAAGUCUUCCUUUAUUUAAAUUAAACUUAGUGCCUAAAGAUAUAAAUAAAUAAAAUAGUAGAGUCAAUCGCGUAACAAUACCUACGCCUUGUUGGGCUCUUUUCUCCUUUGGUACCCCGCUGUAGAAGUAAUCAUAUUCUCCGAUAUUUUCUGAUCCUUGACCCUUUCAUGUUCAGUCUAUUUAUUUCGUGUAUUACUUCAUUUAUUUUUUGUUUAAACCCUUGUACGUUCUAAGUUCCAAUAUUCGUUAUCCUUUUCCGUAGCAUGUGUCGUCGUGUUAUAAUCAAUCGAUUCCGAGGCGUUUCGCUAGGUUUUUUAACAGUUUGAAUUUUUCCGAGUAACGGGGAGUUAACCCGAUGCCUCAACCCCCGACCUGGAGGACCAGGGUUUGAUUUUGGAGUAUUCCUUCUCCUAGAGGAUUUGCUUUCUCUACAGCUUUAUAGUAUGGUAUAACUAGACCCAAACCCAGACAUCCAAUGUGAAAGUUAUCCUCUAACACCAAAUUGUUCUAUAUGGUCCACAUAAUGUUCAGAAAAAAGUCACACCAUUUUGAGCGUCGGGUUUGGGGGGAGAGGGGAGAGAAAUCGGUAAAUUCGUAGUUUUCUAGGGUUUUCGUCAAUAUUUCUAAAACUGUGCGGUUUAGCAUGAAUAACCUUCUAUACAAAAAUGUUCUACAUUAAAUUUGAAAUAAAAAAGGUCCUAUGCAUAAUCCUUCUAAAGUGAACGGUUCCAAAGUUACGGAGGUAGUAUAGUAUAAUAGGUCCAAAAAAAGGCCUAAGCCAGACAUCCAAAGUAAAAGUUUUCCUUCAACACCAAAUUGUUCUAUAUGGUCCACAUAUUGUUCAGUAAAAAGUUACACCAUUUUGAGCGUACGGAUUGGGGGGGGGGAUGGGGUAAAAGUCGGUAAUUUAGUUUUUUUUACGUUUACGUCAAUAUUUCUAAAACUAUACUUUAGCCUAAACAAUGUUCUAUACAAAAAUGUUCUACAUGGAAUUUAAAACAAAAAAGAUCCUAUACAUAAUUGUUAAUAAAAUCAACGGUUCCAGACUUAUGAAGGGUGAAAAGUGGAGGUUUUCGAUACUUUUUAUAUUCUUUGGGCAAUUUAUAGAAAUUUUUUUUAACAGGAUUGGGAUUUGUAAAUUAACUUUGCUAUUUUAGUGGCCGAUGGUAUGUUAGUGAUAAGCCCUUGAAGAUACGUCAACCUCCCCACCCAAAAUCAUCAUUAAUUGCCCAAAUAAGAUAAAAUGUAUCGAAAACCUCCACUUUUCACCCUCCGUAACUCUGAAACCGUUGAUUUUAUAACAAUUAUGUAUAGAACCUUUUUUGUUUUAAAUUUUAUGUAGAACAUUUUUGUAUAGAAUUUUCUUUACGCUUAAGCAUAGUUUUAGAAAUAUUGACGAAAAACGUAAAAAAACUACUAAUUUACCGACUUCUCCCCCAUCUCCCCCCAAACCGGACGGUCAAAAUGGUGUUUACUAAACAAUAUGUGGACCAUAUAGAACAAUUUGGUGUUGAAGGAAAACUUUUACUUUGAAUGUCUGGGUUAGGCCUUUUUGGACCAAUAAUUAUACUAUACUACCUCCGUAACUUUAAAACCGUUCAUUUUAGAAGGAUUAUGCAUAGAGGCUUUUGUAUAGAAUGUUGUUCAUGCUAAACCGCAUAGUUUUAGAAAUACUGACGAAAAACCUACUCCCCCCCCCCCAAGCCCGACGCUCAAAAUGGUGUGACUUUUUUCUGAACAUUAUGUGGACCAUAUAGAACAAUUUGGUGUUGGAGGAUAACUUUCACUUUGGAUGUCUGGGUUAUGCCAUUAUUUGGAUCAAUUUUAUCAUACUAUUAGAGCAUCCUCCGCCCUACCUGUUGGUCCGCGGGUAGUAUUUUAUUUCCUACCCAUCCGCCAGCACUAGGCUGGUGAGGACAUGCCCCUAUCCGCCACCUUGGGAACGCGCUCUCUAAGGGUUACAGGUUCCCCCGAGAGAACUACAGUACUAUAACCUCUAUUUUUAUAUAUAACAUCUAUACUGUGCCUAUACCUACUACUUUGUUCAGACCUAAGUCCUUCCUGUUACCCUCGUUGUACACCAGAACAUAGCUCUAUACGAAGGUAUUAAUUUUAACAUAGUAAUUAUAGGGUAUUAUAUUUUAAUUUUACUUAGUUAAUUCCACAGGUAGACUUACAAGAAGUAAAGAAGUAGGUAUUUCACACUUCAGGGUAUAAAUUAUUCACCCCAUCUUUGAUAAUAUUAAUAUAGUAGGGUUACGGUCGAUAUAUCUGAUUCUUGCUUAAUGUAGGUACAUUUUACUGAUCCGGGUGUAUCCUAUAUUCAUAUUUACCAUAUUCCUAGGUACUUAUUAGGGUGUAUAAAUGUGAUAAGUUAGGUCUUUUAAGCCUCAACAGUAGGGGAGAACGGGGUUGGUUGUCAUAGAUUCGCCUAUUAUAUUUUUUUUAACGAUUAGUAUUAUUUGUUUUGAAAAGUGCGCAUUACCGUAAGAUAAAGUGAACAUGACUUCAAUAUUCCCUUUUUUCUAGAUCUCUAGAUGUAUUCCAACAUACAGUAAAACCUCGAUAUAACGGACCUCUAUAUAACGGACUUCGGAUAUAACGGACGAAAAAUCGGGUCAAAUGUAAAAAAAUUAAAAACGCCCUGUUGAUAUGAUACAUGCUUAACCUGUCACAUACCAAGAUACAUUGAAUACCAACGGGGUCCCCGUGGACUCCAAAUGCUACACCUACCUAGAAACUUUAGUUGUAUGUUUUUUUUGCCAAAAAUACAACAUCGCAUAUUCAACCCAUGGAUCAGGGAAUAAUUUUGGAAACCAAACGAAUAUCUAGUAAAAAAAAUGGUCUGUUGGCCAAGAUGCAGACAUAAGCUUAGAAGGGUUGGAAAUUCCUGAUUUCUGUAAGACAAUACAUAUCUAAUAAUGCCGGAGAAGAAGUAGGUAGCUGAGAUGUUUUAUUUUACAAUGGCUAAAAGUAGAUGAAGGUGUCCCUGGGUAUAAUAUCACGACUGAAAGUGAAAUAGCAGAUGAAGUUAUGAACCUAACACAUGAGGAUGGAAGUGAAGAUAGCAAAGAAGGCAAAACAACACUGCAAAAAAUGAAGUUCUCAGAGGUAAGAUUGCAUCUUAACGAUCUAAUAACAUUUAUUGAUUAUUCAGACAACGAAGUUCAACUGUAUUAUACGCAAUUUCGUAAUUUUAGAGAGUUGAUUAUAAAAAAACAGCAAACUUCAAAAGUGCAAACAAAACCUUCCUUUUUCAAAGCAGGAUUACCGAAAGCAAGCGUGUCGAUAUAAAACAACGUCACUUCACGACGAAUUUCUGAAGAUAAUUAAAUAGAAUUUUGUUUGUGUUUUUUAUUUAUAUUUAAAUACAGUGUACAUAUUUUCAAAAAAGAACUUUUUUAUUUAUUUUAAAACUAUUUUUAUAUAACGGACACCCCGUUCCCCCAAUUAGUCCGUUAUAUCGAGGUUUUACUGUACUCAUAUAAAAUAAUAAGAGUAGCUCUACAACCUAUGUCAAUUUGCCCCGUGAUUGGGGCAAAUUGUCAUAGCCCUUGGGGUAGGUUGGCAUAUAAGUAUAAAACAUAACUACACUUGGAAAAGAUGCAAAGGAACAGUUAUCAAUAAUAGGUAGGUAUAUAAAAUAAUAGAAGCCGAAAAAAUAUAGGUAAAUGUAUUUAAUAAGAAGGUAUGAAUUCAAACAACUUCAUUUGUUUUAAAUUAAUAAAAUAAUUAGAAAUCUGUAUUCAGAAAUACUGUUAGUAUUCAUCAAAAUAGCAGUUUUGACAUCUAUAAUAUGGCACAAUAUUGCCAUCAGUGCAAUAAAAUUUGAAGUGUGCUGAAAAGUUGCAUUCGAUCCACUGUUUUCCAGGGUGACUGUUGGAAUGUGGCUCUAUGAAAACUGGACAGAAAGCAUUAUCCCGGUCUGAGUCCUCAUCUGAAGGUACUGUUAAUGGACGCUUUUUCUUUAUUUUUCUCUUAAAUAAAUCUUUUUUGGCAUUAUCAACCGUCGUUUUGGUUGAAGUGGAAGCAAAGUUUUUUGCGAUUCUUUUCUCUUUUCUAGCAGUAACUGCUGCCUUCUUCUCCUGUGUUGCCUUUUGUUUCCGCUUCUAAAGCUUUUUGGAUUGGUGUAUGUGUGAGUUGCAGUGGAACGUAUUUUUCUUCCUCGUUCGGUAUUUGUUUUUCUGUCGCCAGCUUUAGGAAAUGGUCUAAAGUUUGUCAAUAAAUUGUUGCUGGAAGUUGAUGGAAGCGCAGAGGCACCAUCAGAAAAUAAUUUAUCCGAUGUGUCGUUAACAGAUUAUACAGGCGUAGUUGCUGAUACUGUACUGUAGAAUUUGGUAGUUGAUAUUGUAGGAGGAAUAGAAUGUGAAUUAACCUGAGUUGGCGGAGUAAUAUAACGUCAGCAGGUAUUUUUCCUCGCCCUGUUUUUUUUAUAGGUUCGCAUGGUUACGCCUGGAAAUAAUUAGAUAAUAAUUACAUAAUACUUUUGUUACAAACAAUCGAUUUCAUAGUGAUAUAAGGGGCAGGUUGGCACAACGUGACAACCUGCCCCAUUUAUAAAAUGCCAACCAACCCCGAUGACGGUUUUUUAACUAAAAUGGGUAACACGUGUUUACGAAUUCAUAAACUGUAAAUUUCUUUACGUCAGAUUAAAGAGCUAUCAAUAUGCUUUCACACCAUCGUCACAGAAAAUAACUGAAAUUUUUGUACUAGAUUAUAUUAAAAAAAGUGAACGACAACGAAAAAUUACUCACCAAAUGUAAAAUCACAAAUUAGCACUAUAUUCACUGAAUAACGUUACAACUUCGACUGAAAGUAUGGUAACACAAGCGCCGAAGGUUUGUGCAUGCACAGGUCGACGGGCUGUGUUUUACUAUGAACGGUGCGUAAUUUAAAUGCACAGUGUCAACGUACCCCGUAUGACAACCAACCCCGGUGUCCCCUACUGUAUUAUAUUUUAUAGUUAAUAGUUUCAAUAGUCAUUAUACAUUUUCUUAUAUUUUGUUGCAAUUCCCCUAUUUUUUUUUCAAUUUAUGUUUUUCAUUUAUGUUCAAUAAAUUUUUGUAGUUA